GAAAAUAAAAUAAUAAUAAUAAUAAUAAUGAUUUAACAUUUACUUUGCAGGCCAACCUCAAGUGGCAACAGGAGUCCAGCCUGGUGUCAAAGGCCCAAAACCUGCAACUGGAGGAGUGGGUCCCUACAGUCCUGCAGCUGGAACUGGAGUCCUUCCUGGCGCCAAGCCUCUUAAAG